AACAGGAAGCAGCUUGCUGCUUUGCUGACGAGUGGCGGACGGGUGAGUAAUGUCUGGGAAACUGCCUGAUGGAGGGGGAUAACUACUGGAAACGGUGGCUAAUACCGCAUAACGUCGCAAGACCAAAGAGGGGGACCUUCGGGCCUCUUGCCAUCAGAUGUGCCCAGAUGGGAUUAGCUUGUUGGUGAGGUAACGGCUCACCAAGGCGACGAUCCCUAGCUGGUCUGAGAGGAUGACCAGCCACACUGGAACUGAGACACGGUCCAGACUCCUACGGGAGGCAGCAGUGGGGAAUAUUGCACAAUGGGCGCAAGCCUGAUGCAGCCAUGCCGCGUGUAUGAAGAAGGCCUUCGGGUUGUAAAGUACUUUCAGCGGGGAGGAAGGUGUUGUGGUUAAUAACCGCAGCAAUUGACGUUACCCGCAGAAGAAGCACCGGCUAACUCCGUGCCAGCAGCCGCGGUAAUACGGAGGGUGCAAGCGUUAAUCGGAAUUACUGGGCGUAAAGCGCACGCAGGCGGUCUGUCAAGUCGGAUGUGAAAUCCCCGGGCUCAACCUGGGAACUGCAUUCGAAACUGGCAGGCUUGAGUCUUGUAGAGGGGGGUAGAAUUCCAGGUGUAGCGGUGAAAUGCGUAGAGAUCUGGAGGAAUACCGGUGGCGAAGGCGGCCCCCUGGACAAAGACUGACGCUCAGGUGCGAAAGCGUGGGGAGCAAACAGGAUUAGAUACCCUGGUAGUCCACGCCGUAAACGAUGUCUACUUGGAGGUUGUGCCCUUGAGGCGUGGCUUCCGGAGCUAACGCGUUAAGUAGACCGCCUGGGGAGUACGGCCGCAAGGUUAAAACUCAAAUGAAUUGACGGGGGCCCGCACAAGCGGUGGAGCAUGUGGUUUAAUUCGAUGCAACGCGAAGAACCUUACCUGGUCUUGACAUCCACAGAAGAAUCCAGAGAUGGAUUUGUGCCUUCGGGAACUGUGAGACAGGUGCUGCAUGGCUGUCGUCAGCUCGUGUUGUGAAAUGUUGGGUUAAGUCCCGCAACGAGCGCAACCCUUAUCCUUUGUUGCCAGCGGUUAGGCCGGGAACUCAAAGGAGACUGCCAGUGAUAAACUGGAGGAAGGUGGGGAUGACGUCAAGUCAUCAUGGCCCUUACGACCAGGGCUACACACGUGCUACAAUGGCGCAUACAAAGAGAAGCGACCUCGCGAGAGCAAGCGGACCUCAUAAAGUGCGUCGUAGUCCGGAUUGGAGUCUGCAACUCGACUCCAUGAAGUCGGAAUCGCUAGUAAUCGUGGAUCAGAAUGCCACGGUGAAUACGUUCCCGGGCCUUGUACACACCGCCCGUCACACCAUGGGAGUGGGUUGCAAAAGAAGUAGGUAGCUUAACCUUCGGGAGGGCGCUUACCACUUUGUGAUUCAUGACUGGGGUGAAGUCGUAACAAGGUAACCGUAGGGGAACCUGCGGUUGGAUCACCUCCUUACCUUAAAGAAGC
rnacentral:rRNA from 1 species